AACGCACAUUGCGCCCUUUGGUAUUCCAAAGGGCAUGCCUGUCUGAGCGUCAAUAAAGUAAUCAAACCUUGGUUUGGUAUUGGGAGAAGUGGUAUUGCCUCUCUCCUUUAAGUUAUUGGCGACGCUAUUUCAGCUUGUAAGACGUAGUAAGUAAUUUCUCGUUAAAGCAACUGUAUAGAUGUCUGCCAACUGAACAAUUUAUUUUAUAGCUUGACCUCAGAUCAGGUAGGGAUACCCCCUGAACUUAA
rnacentral:misc_RNA from 1 species